AAGCGGCUGAGCGGCUGGGAUACAAGUGGUUGAGCAGCAAACAGAGAAGCAGCAACUGAGUGUCCGAGACCACAGAUAGACACGGCUAACUUCAGAUGGUGCAGCUUCAGGGAAAGAUCACCUUCUUCCUGCACCAUCCCUUUUCCAAUUCUCCAUCCCACUGAAAACUGCUUUUAUUACCCAAUAAAAUCCUCCACACACACUACCCUUCAACCCAUUCAUGGGACCUCAUUCUUCCCAGAUGCUGGACGAGAACUCAGGUGCCGAGAGGGCAGGGGCUCGGAGGCUGCUGCGGGGCCCACACAGAGCCUGUUCUCACCAGAGAGAAGUGACCCCCGGUUCCAGUAUUCACUCACUCCAGUUCCCGCACUCGCUUGCUUGUGUAGCAGGACAAGCCGCAGACAAAACCCCUCAGACACCGAGUUAAAGAAGGAAGGGUUUUAUUCGGCUGGAAGGUUCAGCAAGACUCACGUCUCCAACAACUGAGCUCCCCAGGUGAGCAAUCCCUGUCCCUUUUAAGGGCUCACAACUCCAAGGGGAUAGAGGGUCGUGAUCAUUGAGCAAGCAGUGGAUACGUGACUGGGGGCUGCAUGCACCGGUAAUCAGAACAAAACAGAACAGGACAGGGAUUUUCACAAUGCUUUUCCAUACAAUGUGUGGAAUCUAUAGAUAACAUAACGGGUUAGGUCAGGGGUCGAUCUUUAACCAGGCCCAGGGCUGCGCCAGGCUGUCUGCCUGUGGAUUUCAUUUCUGCCUUUUAGUUGUUACUUCUUCUUUCUUUGGAGGCAGAAAUUGGGCAUAACACAAUAUGAGGGGUGGUCUCCUCCCUUACUUGCACGCUCCCUCUCUCAAGAAGGGGCCAGUGGCAGGCUGAGUGAAAUGAGCCAUUUCAGUUCUUGCCCACAAAGGGGGUCAAGGUCAAGGGAACGCUCCCAUCUCAUCAUUUCUAUUGGUUCUCAUUUCUUUUAUUUAUUUAUUUUUUUGAGACAGGGUCUUGCUCUGUCAUCAGGCUGGAAUGCAGUGGUAUGACAUGGCUCACUGCAACCUCUGCCUCCCAGGCUCAAGUGAUGCUCCCAGCUAGUCCCAAGUAGCUGGGACUACAGGCAUACACCACUACGCUCAACUAAUUAAAAUUUUUUUUUUGUAGAGAUGAGGUCUCACUAUGUUGCCCAGGCUGGUCUUGAGCUCCUGGGCUCAAACAAUCAUCCCAUCUCGGCCUCCCAAAGUGCUGGAAUUAUAAAUGUUAGCUACCAUGUCUGGCCUUAGUUCUUAUUUUUGGUAACUUGUUUCUUUAUGUAAUCAAAAAUCUUUCUGUGCCCCCCAUGGCCCUUAAAAAUUAUUUGUGUAUAUUCUCAAAGGCCUAUGUCAACAAAAAAGAGGCAAACUCUGUAAAAUUUGUAAAGAGGUUUAUUAUGAGCGAAUCAUGAGUGAUCAAGGUGCAAGGCAUAGUUUUAAGAGGUCCUGAGAACAUGUACCCAAGGUGGAUGGGUUGCAGCUUGGUUUUAUACGUUUAAGGGAGACAUAAGACAUCAAUCAAUACAUGUGAGGUAUACAUUGGUUUGGUCUGGGAGGGUGGGACGCUUGAAGUGGUGAUUCUAGGUCAUAGGUGGGUUCAAAAAUUUUCUGAUUCACAAUUGGUUGAAAUAAUUAAGUUAUUAUCUAAAGGCCUGGAGUCAAUAAAAAGGAGUGUCUGGGUUAAGAUAAGGGAUUGCGGAGACUAAGGUUUUUAUUAUGUAGAUGAAGUCUCAUAGGUGGCU
rnacentral:lncRNA from 10 species